ensembl:lncRNA
AUAAAAACUAUUAACUUUAAAUGUACUAUCAACUAACAGUACAGUUUUAUACUUUAAAUACUUUAGCAUGUUAGUCAACAAAUGAAAAUAAGUGUACUUUAUUAAUACACAACAAAACAUUUUAAAACAUAAUGGUUCAAAAGUAAAAAUGUAUAUACACUUAAAAAUAAGGUGCUUUAAAAGGUUCUUCAAGCAAUGCCACAGAAGAACCAUUUUUGGUUCCACAAAGAAGCAUUCAGUCAAAAAUACUUGAAAAAAUACUUCACACAAAAUAUACUCACCGUUAUAUUGUUCCAAACCCACAUGGCUAUUUUUUUUCAUGAAACUCUAAAGGAGAAAUUUGAUCAUUUUGAUAAUUAUUUGAUAAUGAUAAGAUGUUUUUUGAGCAACAAAUCAUAUAUUAUAUGA